rnacentral:lncRNA from 1 species
UUUAAAAUUUGAGAUUUGAAAUUUAAAUUUAAAAUUUAAAACUUAAAGUUAAAAUCUAAAUUUUAAAUUUUAGAUUUGAAAAGUUGAAAUUUAAAAAUUCAAAUAUGAAUUUAAAAUUUAAAAAUUAGAAUUAAAUUUGAAUAUAAACUUUGAAUCUAAAAUUAAAAUAAAAAUUUAAAGUUUGAGUCUAAAAUCAAAAUCAGAUUUCAAGAAGCAGCUUUUUUCUGUUUCUGAUUCUGAAACCUUCAAACUCAGUUUUCUAAUUUUAAAAAACAGAAUCAAAUUUUUCAGCACUUGUUGUCAAACACUCUACUGAGCCCAAAAUUACUUUUGAGCUUAGAAUAACUUUUCAAAAGUA